rnacentral:lncRNA from 1 species
AAUCGAUUAUUGAUGGGAAGAUAUUAUUUAACUAUCCAAAAUAUUAUUUAAUUAUUUUCAGAAUUAUUUUCUUUCAAUGUUUAUUCAAAUAGAACUUAAACCCAUCUCAGAAUUUUUAAAUGCUUGAUGACGUCACAUUUAAAACGUGGCAACAUUGGUUUCCCCACUUUGACAGCCAAUGCUUAGUAGAGGGGUACGAAGGAUUCAGCUGUGAACGUGAGCCUUGGAUUGCCAUUGUUUCUCGAGUGUUCGGUCUGAAUCGUAGUGUGCGGGGUCAUUAGACUCAAUUAUUCACCUCUAAUUCUCAGUUCCAAAUUGAUUAAAUAUUACAAUAAAAGUAUAGUGAAGUUAUCCAGCAGCAGUGGAUUUGAAGAAUUUUAGAGCAUACUAUAUCCAAUGAGUUCUACCCCGCACCUACCAUGAAAUCUUAAAGCCACCCUACAACAACACCAAGGCCAGACCACACAGAGAGAAACAAUCAAUAGGCGACCAGCCUGGAUUAUUUCCACAUUUUCUUUUUUUUUGAGUACCUCCAGCUGCUUUCCAACAGUUUUGAGUACCUUCAGCUGCUUUCUACCAGUCUUCCUCUCCUGUACCUCCAGCAGGACAGCUGCUAGCGAGAGUUAGCACCCUUGGGUGCUCAUUACAUCAACUUCAAGAUUAGGAAAGAGUGGUUUGUUUGGGAACAUUUACUGUGCUCUUAUUAAAGACAGACUGGUUUUGUGAUAUUUAGUACAUUUUUUUUUAUAGUUCAAUUGCACACACAUUUUUCCUGCUUUAUAUUUUUUAUAGGUUUUUUUUCUUUACAACAUAAUAUUUAAUUGAUAGCGUUCCCCAACACUCUGCAAUCUAUAAAGGUAUAAAUUUCUGAGCUCAGAUAUUUUCCCUGAUAAUAGUAGUCGGUACUCUUAUCUUGAUUAUUUUUAGGCUGUGUUCCACUUUUGUAUAAUUAUUUAAACUCAUUCCAUUAUUUUAGUAUAUGUUUAAUUAAAUUUUUAAAAAUUAACUUCACAUAUUAGUCAAAAUUGUAAUUAUUAACUUUAUUUAACUUGAACUUAUUAACUUUACUUAACUUUAACUUAUUAACUUUAUUUAACUUUAACUUUAAUUUAUUAAAUUCAUAUGAACUUCUGGAUUCUAAUCCCUCAGAUUAGUUUUUGGUUUCACUUGUUAUUAUUACUAUUAUAAACCACGAGUUAGGAAAAGGAUCUGUGUAUCCACUCGUAGGUUUAUUUAUUCAAUAAGGCUUGUGCCUGUCCCACUCACAGUGAGGUAUUUAUAUGUUAUAUAUAGUAUCAGGUAGUAUUUAAUUAAGGUGUACGUAUUAUAAACGUACAAUUAUUAUUUGGUGAGGGUUCUACUAACCUAGUUGUAAGUUGUACUUCCUGUAUUAGAGGUACCCGUAGUCAGUUUUUCUAACCUUAUAAAGAGUAUUCUUAGAUCAUAGUUGUAUGAUGAUUUUGUAAUUGACUUUCACUAGUAUCACUUUUUCCUGUCAUGUUAGAGUUACACACUAGUUACUUGUCCUAACUCAGAGGUUGUUAAAAAGAUCUAGUAGUUACAUUCAAUAAAUAUACAUUUAUUGUGA